CGCGUUAACAAUGGACAAGCACAUUAAGUGCCAAUGAAAACACAUACGCUCUACCCGUCGCUGCCUAACAACAGCAACAAAUAGAGCGCUAACCCGCAGUGGUUAGCCGUCCGCUCUAAUUGUCCCAAUCCAGUCUGAGUACGGGCGUAACAAAUGAUACGGGUGCUACUCCGCAUACACCGAUAAGCGGAGCCAAGACUAAUCGGCUGGCUGUCGGCGUACCCUGUCAGUGGGGCUAUCGGCGGCGAGAUCAAAUAGCUGACUAAACCUGUAGACGUGCGAUUCUUGCGUUCUUCGGACCCGGAUGCAAAUUCCGGCGCUUCCACUC
rnacentral:tmRNA from 1 species